AGGGCCAUUAGGGACAGUCUAGAGGGAAUGAGGUUUUAGGGCCAUUAGGGACAGUCUAGAGGGAAUGAGGGUUUGGGGCCAUUAGGGACAGUAUAGAGGGAAUGAGGGUUUGGGGCCAUUAGGGACAGUAUAGAGGGAAUGCGGGGCCAUUAGGGACAGUAUAGAGGGAAUGAGGGACCAUUAGGGACAGUAUAGAGGAAUGAGGGGCCAUUAGGGACAGUAUAGAGGGAAUGAGGGGCCAUUAGGGACAGUAUAGAGGGAAUGAGGGGCCAUUAGGGACAGUAUAGAGGGAAUGAGGGGCCAUUAGGGACAGUGUAGAGGAAAUUAGGGAGGCAGACAGACAGAGAGAUAUUAUAUCUAAUUAUGCUGUAUAACCCUACUGUAUAUCUUACCAACAUAACAUCUGGUAUCAUUCCAACCCUGUUAGGAUGUACUGUACACUGCAGUUUAACUGAUUGAUGAGUGAAAUUAAAUAAAUAAAAUAUAACUAUUAAAGAAUGUCUUGUUGUUGUUAUACAUAAUAAAUACAUGUUUAUCCACAGUCGCUUGGUGAGCAGCGAUUCUCCUUCAAAACUCCUU